rnacentral:rRNA from 1 species
UGGUGGAGCGAUUUGUCUGGUUAAUUCCGAUAACGAACGAGACUCUAGCCUAUUAAAUAGUUCGCCGAUCACGUUUACGUCGGCGUCAACUUCUUAGAGGGACAAGUGGCGUUUAGCCACGCGAGAUUGAGCAAUAACA